rnacentral:rRNA from 1 species
CCUACGGGAGGCAGCAGUGAGGAAUAUUGGUCAAUGGACGAGAGUCUGAACCAGCCAAGUAGCGUGAAGGAUGACUGCCCUAUGGGUUGUAAACUUCUUUUAUAUGGGAAUAAAAUGUUCCACGUGUGGGAUUUUGUAUGUACCAUAUGAAUAAGGAUCGGCUAACUCCGUGCCAGCAGCCGCGGUAAUACGGAGGAUCCGAGCGUUAUCCGGAUUUAUUGGGUUUAAAGGAAGCGUAGGUGGAUUGUUAAGUCAGUUGUGAAAGUUUGCGGCUCAACCGUAAAAUUGCAGUUGAAACUGGCAGUCUUGAGUACAGUAGAGGUGGGCGGAAUUCGUGGUGUAGCGGUGAAAUGCUUAGAUAUCACGAAGAACUCCGAUUGCGAAGGCAGUUCACUGGACUGCAACUGACACUGAGGCUCGAAAGUGUGGGUAUCAAACAGGAUUAGAUACCCCUGUAGUC